rnacentral:misc_RNA from 1 species
GAAGAAGAAGAAGAAGAAGAGCUUAGCGAUAAUAGUUUGGUCCCAAAAGAGGAUCACAAAGCAUUGAGGUUCAAGAAAAAGUUUAAGUUUAAAAGCCCUUCAAUGAACUCAAGGAGUAGUCCGAAGGGAUUUUCAGGUUCGAAUAGCAUGAAUGGAAGUCAUCCAAAUGGGGAAUCUAGAGACAUUGAUUCGGGGACUAUGAAAAUAGAUAGCGGAGGGAAAGUCACUGGUGUUCAGCUGAAUUUGUCACAAGAUGGCAACAAGUUAGAGACGGAAAACAAAGAUUUGCUGAAGGAAAUACAGUCCGGUGCUGUCCAGGAGAAUAGGAAAGGAAGAUUGUCAAGUGAAGUAACAAAGUCAUGGAAAUCAACAGAUUUUGAGAAACAGAAUUCUCUAAGCUUAACAAAAGAAAACCAGAGAACUAAUACAAAUUUAGAUGGCCCAGCUUCACCAAGAAGAAAAAGCAGCAGAGACCCUGGAAAGAGACCAGUAACCUACAAAAUGGGGGAUAAAAAAUCAGUAGUGCAAACAAAGUUGUGGUGGUUGAAGCUUCCUUAUGCUCUAGCUAUCCUUAUGCGUAGAGGCACAGAACAAGAAGGACCAGCUGGACUUUAUGCAUUAAGAACACCUUCUCAGGCAGAUAACCAAGAGGACUCUUGCACUGUUGCUUUUGAGGACCGCAGUGAUGCCAAUAACUUCUGCUAUCUACUUGAAUCCUACUUUCAAGAUUUAGGGAACUUCAGUGCUGACAUUGUUCCACUGUCAAUAAAAGAACUUCAUGAUGCAGUGAAAUCUCGUUCCAAGAAGGUAAUUGUUGUAAAGAAGGGGCAGCUUAAGCUUUAUGCUGGUCAGCCAUUUGCUGAGGUUGAGAUGGCUUUGCUCUCUUUGCUUGAUCAAGAUCAAGAAGGUACAUAAUGAGGGGUAGCCGGUUCUCUCCAUCUCCAUAAAUCCCCUAACAAGGGCAGAAUCCAAACUUGAGACCUCAAGGAAGUCAGCCUUUACUAUUGGGAUAUCUACUUGGGACAUCAAGGUACAUAGUUUUGGAAUAAAUGAAUGAUUAUACCUGGAUUCUUCUUCAAUCUGUGGACAUGUUCUUAUGGAUUCUCCUCAGAGUCAAGAUCUCUCUUCUUCAACAAUAUUUUAGGACUUUAGGACAUACUGGCCAGAUUAAUGAUCUUGACCAGCCAUAGGUCUCUUGAAUCUAUGGAGAAAUUUUGGACAGUAGGGCAAAUAUGACAAGGAUGUGGUGGUCUUCCCACUGAAUCAGAGCUCUUUUUGUUCUGAAAAACUGUAUAUAGUAGAUGUCUAUUUGUUUUGAAAAAUUGUAUGUAGAUGUCUCUUUUUUUGGUUGUUGGGGACUUGAAAAGAACUGGAAAGAAUAAAGUUAAAACAAAUGAACCCCUUCAGAAUAACUGGUAACAAGCUAGCAGAGGAAGAAUUGGAUCUAUUAUGGUUAUCAAUCAUGUUCACGUGACUUGUCACCAGUCUUGUUAACUAAGUGCCGAGUUCUAUGAAGAAAUAAGGCAAAUGGGAUCAGCACAAGGUGAACUAUUUUAUUACUGGAUUCAUGUAAAACUAGAAUUUACAUGAAAUAGAAUCUGCUAACUGGAAAGCAAAUAGAAUCCGUUUUUCAUUUCUUUAAUGGCCUUAGUUUCUAGUGCCCUGCGAACUCUUAACAUCAGCACAACACUACAUUCUACUAUAAACUAGUAAUUUUAGCCAUAGACUGAGCAUGAAUAGUUGGCAAAUUGGAUUGGCAAAAGUUUUGCCACGACUCCUGCUUCUGCUCUUCAUUUUCUGUAUAUGCUUCAAAUAUAGAAAUCACAGUAUUUCGUGCUGCUUCUCUUGCCUCGGGCAGCCUAUCGUUCAACAAAUUGGCAGCCAUUUGUACCAAUGAAACCAAUCCGAACUCUUUCAUUCCUUCCAGACCCUGAAACCAUAAGUUCACAAUAAUCAUUGUAGGCAGCAGAUAUCAACACACAAGACUGAGUUAUCCAAACAAUUACCAUAUUGGAGACGGAGUUGGAGAUGCAUAUGGCAACUUUGGCUCUGACUCUAAGGUUGGCAUGGCUAACAUAUGCUCGGAGCUUAUGGAGCAGAUGCAGAGGAGUCAUGGACCUCACCAUUGCACUCAAUGCUUUAUCUGCUUCUUCACACACAAACCUUUUAUCUUGAGAAGCUUUGAGCAGCAGCUGCAACAGCUGUGCACCCACAAGGACAAGUAAAGUCAAUAGCAAAAAAUUAACAGAAAUUUGUUACUUAAAUUCAGUUUAUUAUGGAUGAAACACAGAAGGGCAUGGUAAGACAGAUACUCAUAUUUUACAUGAGUUUCACUUAUUUAUACAUGAAAUCUACUGUGGACCAGAUUUAGACAACAAACACAAUAUAAUUUAUAGCGGACCAGAUUUAGACAACACACAAUGGAAUUGAAGUGAAAAUGGGUAAAGACACAAACAGAAGCGGAGAGGUAGAUUCUCACCAAGUUAUCAAAAGCUUCAGUAGUGGAGUCAAGUAAUUUAGAGCCAAAGGCAUUGAAAAUAUCAGAUGAAGCCAUAAUAGAGGUUUUACACAAAGCACUUCUUGGGUUCUUCAUGGCCUUCACCACCACCAACAUUACCUUUUCCCUAUACAAAUAAAAUAACACAUCCAUGUUUAGCCAAUUUUUGUCUCAUCAUAAAAAUUAAAAGCUUAUUCAUGUCCAUAUUCUGCGAGGAAAUCUCUCAUACAAGAUUGGGAGCAAAAGAGAGGAGUGAUGCAACGCAAACCGCCUAGUAUUAUUCAGUGACUCGCAAACCUUUGUCCAAUCCUUCGAAUCUAAGCCUUCAAUAAGACCCUAGGAACUCAAAUAACCAAGGAAAAAUAACCAAUCAAAUGAGUCGUCAUCUGGGUUACUUGAAACAAAUUUCUAUAAGAAAAAUCUACCCUCAAUCCAGAGAGACCCAAUUGAGAUGAGUGAGUUAUAAGACUUACCUGGAUCUUGGAUUCAGGGUCUGGAAUGGCUUUGAGAUUCUCAGAAGAGAUAUAAUCGAUAGCAGCAUCUGCAGAGAGUGGCAAUGGAGCCUUAUUUUCAUCAUUUACACCAAACUCUGCCUGUUUUUGAAUCGGAACUGAGACUUUUGCUUGCUUUUUGGGUCUUUCUGGUGUUAAAGGGAGAGCAUUAUCAAUGGGCCUCAAAGCCAUUUUUUCUCUGUAGAAGGAGAUUGCAGAUAGAAGAGAUCUGAAGAAUUUGAUGUAUUAUGAUUCAAAGAAGGAUUAUUUAUUCGUGGGCCUGCGAGACAAAUGU